rnacentral:rRNA from 1 species
GGUGGAUGAUGUGGAUUAAUUCGAUGCAACGCGAAAAACCUUACCUACCCUUGACAUGGCUGGAACCCUGGAGAGAUCGGGUCUCGACCAGAACAGGUGUGACGAGCGCAACCCUUGUCAUUAGUUGCUACGGGAUGUCAAGUCUCAUGGCCCUUAUGGGUAGGCUUCAUACAUGGUACAUACAAGGGCCGCCAACCCGCGAGGGGGAGCUUCCCAGAAAGUGUAUCGUAGUCCGGAUUGUAGUGCAACUCGACUACAUGAAGUUGGAAUCGCUAGUAAUCGGGAUCAGCAUGUCGCGGUGAAUACGUUCCCGGGUCUUGUACACACCGCCGUCACACCAUGGGAGCGGGUUUUACCAGAAGUAGGUAGCUUAACCCGAGGGCAACUGAGGGAGGGCGCUUACCACGUAGGACUCGUGACUGGGGUGAAGUCGUACAAGGU